rnacentral:rRNA from 1 species
GAUGAACGCUGGCGGCGUGCCUAAUACAUGCAAGUCGAGCGAACAGACGAGGAGCUUGCUCCUCUGACGUUAGCGGCGGACGGGUGAGUAACACGUGGAUAACCUACCUAUAAGACUGGGAUAACUUCGGGAAACCGGAGCUAAUACCGGAUAAUAUAUUGAACCGCAUGGUUCAAUAGUGAAAGACGGUUUUGCUGUCACUUAUAGAUGGAUCCGCGCCGCAUUAGCUAGUUGGUAAGGUAACGGCUUACCAAGGCAACGAUGCGUAGCCGACCUGAGAGGGUGAUCGGCCACACUGGAACUGAGACACGGUCCAGACUCCUACGGGAGGCAGCAGUAGGGAAUCUUCCGCAAUGGGCGAAAGCCUGACGGAGCAACGCCGCGUGAGUGAUGAAGGUCUUCGGAUCGUAAAACUCUGUUAUUAGGGAAGAACAAAUGUGUAAGUUACUAUGCACGUCUUGACGGUACCUAAUCAGAAAGCCACGGCUAACUACGUG